GGGGAUUUGCCAUGGAGGAACUCUGAUGCAGCGACGCCGCGUGAAGGAAGAAGGUUUUCGGAUCGUAAACUUCUAUCAGCAGGGAAGAAAAUGACGGUACCUGACUAAGAAGCCCCGGCUAACUACGUGCCAGCAGCCGCGGUAAUACGUAGGGGGCAAGCGUUAUCCGGAAUUACUGGGUGUAAAGGGAGCGUAGGCGGUAGAGUAAGUUAGAUGUGAAAGCCCAAGGCUCAACCUUGGGACUGCAUUUAAAACUGCUUUACUAGAGUACAGGAGAGGAAAGUGGAAUUCCUAGUGUAGCGGUGAAAUGCGUAGAUAUUAGGAGGAACACCAGUGGCGAAGGCGACUUUCUGGACUGUAACUGACGCUGAGGCUCGAAAGCGUGGGGAGCGAACAGGAUUAGAUACCCUGGUAGUCCACGCCGUAAACGAUGAGUGCUAGGUGUCGGGACGUCAAGUCUCGGUGCCGCAGCUAACGCAAUAAGCACUCCACCUGGGGAGUACGAUCGCAAGAUUGAAACUCAAAGGAAUUGACGGGGGCCCGCACAAGCGGUGGAGCAUGUGGUUUAAUUCGAAGCAACGCGAAGAACCUUACCAGGUCUUGACAUCCCCUUGACCGGUCUAUAACUAGAUCUUCUCUUCGGAGCAAGGGAGACAGGUGGUGCAUGGUUGUCGUCAGCUCGUGCCGUGAGAUGUUGGGUUAAGUCCCGCAACGAGCGCAACCCUUAUCUUUAGUAGCCAGCAUUUCGGAUGGGGACUCUAGAGAGACUGCCGGGGAUAACUCGGANGAAGGNGGGGAUGACGUCNAAUCAUCAUGCCCCUUAUGAUCUGGGCUACACACGUGCUACAAUGGUGGUAACAAAGGGAUGCGAAGCCGCGAGGUGGAGCCAACCCCAGAAAAGCCAUCCCAGUUCGGAUUGUAGUCUGCAACUCGACUACAUGAAGUUGGAAUCGCUAGUAAUCGCGAAUCAGAAGUCGCGGGAAUACUUCCCGGC
rnacentral:rRNA from 1 species